GAAUCAAUUUACUGGUCGUGCCUAUGGUACGUACUGGUCUCACUGAUUCCUCCUUCCUGAAGAACCGUAAUGCCAUUAAUUUGGUGUUGCGGGGAAACAGGACUGUUACUUUGAAAAAAUUAGAGUGUUUAAAGCAGGCUAACGCUUGAAUACAUUAGCAUGGAAUAAUGAAAUAGGACGAUCGAUCCUAUUUUGUUGGUUUCUAGGAUUGACGUA
rnacentral:rRNA from 1 species